CCCCAAUUCAAUACCAUAUAAUACCCCUUUAGCCCAACCCAUUUCCUACUAACAUAUACACUAUCCAGUCCUUUCCUUUCGAGCAACAGACCCCAAUUUCCCAUUUCUCUCACAAUACAAUAUAUGCCUAGUACAUACGCACACAUAUCACCGACACGCGCGCUCCUUUUUCCCGUUCUCUCUUUCCCUCAGACUCACGUGCAGCAAGCUCCAAACUAAAAGCUCUAAUCAUCCCCAUUUUUCUGCGACGAUCCCCCAAAAUUCGGCGAAAUUUGUGUUCAUCCGUCUCCCUCAAGUCAAUUUGGGAGCAGGUAUCUCCACCCUUUUAGCAACUUUUUUCUCCUAUUUUUUUUCAAAUAAGAUCUUAGAGAAAUUUCUCUCCUCGCAAAUGUGUCUUUUUGAAAUUCAACUAAUUUUUUUGGGCUAUAAAUAGCACACUUGUUUUCAUGGGGAGAGGGGGCAACUAGUAGAGAGCUUGGAGAAAAUUGGAGUCUUUCAUUCACUAAUUUCUCUAUUUAUGUUUUCUCUGAUUUUCGAUAAUCAUUCUGCUAUUAUAAUAUCUUUUUAAUCACUAGCACUCGAAAUCAGUGUGAGAAUCGAUCUGCUCAACUCAUCGUUUUAAGUUCGCUGCCUAGAAUCAGGAAGCUAAUAUAGGUGGGUUAAAACCCAUGAGCAGUCGGAUCACAGUAGUAGCCUAAAGGGCUGGAAAUUGAAAUUUUUGGAUUUAAGAAUCCAACUUGAUCGUUGCAGCAGCAAGAGAUGUUUUGGGCCAAAGGUCUGAAAUUAUUUGAGCAGAGGCAAACUUGAGACUGCCCACUUUUAUUCUGCACUUAAUUAUUUUCUUAUAUUAUUAGUUCAUGAUAUUUGUUGCCAAUUCUAACAUCCAUUUUUUUUUUACUUAGAUGAAUCCUCAACGUUUUGGGUUUUCAAUGGUUA